AUUCCAGCUCCAAUAGCGUAUAUUAAAGUUGUUGCAGUUAAAACGCUCGUAGUCGGAUUUCGGGGCGGGCCGACCGGUCUGCCGAUGGGUAUGCACUGGCCGGCGCGUCCUUCCACCCGGAGACCGCGCCUACUCUUAACUGAGCGGGCGCGGGAGACGGGUCUUUUACUUUGAAAAAAUCAGAGUGUUUCAAGCAGGCAGUCGCUCUUGCAUGGAUUAGCAUGGGAUAAUGAAAUAGGACUAUAGUCUCGUCGUUGGUUACGUGGACUGCAGUAAUGAUUAAUAGGGAUAGUUGGGGGCAUUAGUAUUUAUUAGCUAGAGGUGGAAUUCUCUAAUUUGAUAGAGACUAACUUAUGCGAAAGCAUUUGCCAAGGAUGUUUUCAUUA
rnacentral:rRNA from 1 species